UGGCGUAUAGCUCAGUGAUAGAGUGCAUGCUUAGCAUGCACAAGAUCCUGGGUUCAAUCCCCAGUACCUCCA
rnacentral:tRNA from 1 species